CCGGCACCGCACCGGCACCGGCACCGGCUCUGCCGCUGCUGCCGUGUUUGUAAGCGACGCGUUCGAAUUCGCGAUACAAACCGAAACAAACUCAUUCCAAGAAAUCGUUCACUAACCCACAGCAUGGUGAAAUACCAAGAGCACGUGGAUUUUGGAGCAGCAUUAAGGACUCCCAUUUCCAUCUUUG